UACGAAGGGGGGCUAGCGUUGCUCGGAAUCACUGGGCGUAAAGGGUGCGUAGGCGGGUCUUUUAAGUCAGGGGUGAAAUCCUGGAGCUCAACUCCAGAACUGCCUUUUGAUACUGAAGAUCUUGAGUUCGGGGAGAGGUGAGUGGAACUGCGAGUGUAGAGGUGAAAUUCGUAGAUAUUCGCAAGAACACCAGUGGCGAAGGCGGCUCACUGGCCCGAUACUGACGCUGAGGCACGAAAGCGUUGGGGAGCAAACAGG
rnacentral:rRNA from 1 species